GACGAACGCUGGCGGCGUGCUUAACACAUGCAAGUCGAACGGAAAGGCCCUGCUUUUGUGGGGUGCUCGAGUGGCGAACGGGUGAGUAACACGUGAGUAACCUGCCCUUGACUUUGGGAUAACUUCAGGAAACUGGGGCUAAUACCGGAUAGGAGCUCCUGCUGCAUGGUGGGGGUUGGAAAGUUUCGGCGGUUGGGGAUGGACUCGCGGCUUAUCAGCUUGUUGGUGGGGUAGUGGCUUACCAAGGCUUUGACGGGUAGCCGGCCUGAGAGGGUGACCGGCCACAUGGGGACUGAGAUACGGCCCAGACUCCUACGGGAGGCAGCAGUGGGGAAUAUUGCACAAUGGGCGGAAGCGUGAUGCAGCAACGCCGCGUGCGGGAUGACGGCCUUCGGGUUGUAAACCGCUUUCGCCUGUGACGAAGCGUGAGUGACGGUAAUGGGUAAAGAAGCACCGGCGAACUACGU
rnacentral:rRNA from 1 species